AUCGCAGACCAUGGGAGGUUAAUCAAUUCUUUCCCACAGUCAGAUUGCACAAGAGCAGGCCAGACACAGUGGAAAUGGCAUCCGUCUGGUGAGGAGCUAGGCCUUGAGAGGGCCAUAUGUCUGAGAACUCAUUUCUGGUGUGUCGUAUGUGUGUUGUUCUGAAGUGCUGUGACUCUGUGGUGAAGGUGUGUGCUGGCAGAUGACUGCGGUCUCAGCUCCAGAGCUCGCCUCCUGUGUCAGCAAUGGUCUCCUGGGCAAGCCCUCUCACACUGUGCUAUGGAGAGUCCGGAGUUCUCUUCCUAUCACUGGAUCCACCACUAUAAGAACACUCUAUCCAGAGCCUCUGCCAUAUUCUUCCUGGCAUGCUAUAGUACAAGAUGAGCUGUAGGUUCCUAGGAUCCAUGAGCUAAGUGACAACCUUGAGGAAGGACUGAGUCAGGGUGAACUUUAUUGAACUCACCAUCUCCUGUUACAAACAGCUGAGGUUCAAGAAGACGGAGCAGGAGGGGCUCCAUCUAAUUAGAAUGAAAUGGAAUCACUGGACAAAUGUUGGAUAACUUUGUGACAUCCAUUCAGCAUUGCCUAUGAGAGUGUUUGUAUGACUGAGGCAAGAGGUUGGGUUUUUUGUUCGUUAGAUUGUUUUGUUUUUUUGCUUCCAGAGAACUCUCCAUAUAUGGACACAGCAAAGAAAACAGUUUGUAGGAGCAGGCUCAGGGCUGGCAGUCGACACACGUGUUUCUCAGGUGUUUGUGAUUUGGCUCUCUCAGCUUCUCUAUCAGCCAGGAACUGUUUCCUGACUUGUGUGAGGGGAGUAAACAGAGUCCAGGUGUGAGGUGUUUUUUUUAAACAGAGG
rnacentral:lncRNA from 1 species